rnacentral:rRNA from 1 species
AGCGUUGCUCGGAAUCACUGGGUGUAAAGCGCACGUAGGCGGCUUUCUAAGUCAGGGGUGAAAUCCUGGAGCUCAACUCCAGAACUGCCUUUGAUACUGGAGAGCUUGAGUCCGGAAGAGGUGAGUGGAACUCCGAGUGUAGAGGUGAAAUUCGUAGAUAUUCGGAAGAACACCAGUGGCGAAGGCGGCUCACUGGUCCGGUACUGACGCUGAGGUGCGAAAGCGUGGGGAGCAAACAGG